AACAACCUCCAAUUCCAACAAAGGACCGAUGCUAGCAUUCAGACCUUGAACACACAGAUGGGACAACUUGCUACUCAAAUAAAUAACAUGCAAGCUCAAGGUUCGAACCAACUUCCAGCCCAGACAGUUUUCAAUCCGAAUGGUCCUAAUGCUAAUGUGAGCGCAAUUUCUUUGAGAUCCGGAAAACUUACAGAACCAGCCCCUGAAAAAAAUAAAAAAAUCAUUGAGGUAACUUCUGAACUUUCUCCUUCUGAACCUCACUCAGCUGAACUUUCUUCUCCUUCUUCU
rnacentral:lncRNA from 1 species